GCGCCCUCCACCCACCCAGCAGCACCAUGCACAUGGCAGAGGCUUGCAGGGGGACAUUGGCUCUGCAGUCCCACCCUGCCCCAGGAUGUUAUUGGCCGAUUAUUGGCAUCUGUGCACCGGGCUGCCCCUGGUAGUAAUUAUGGCUCAGGCGUAUGGCCUAAUCUGUUGCUUCUUGCUGUGAGAUCACUGUCCUUGUAGCAGCACAUCUCUCAACAAGCCUUCCUAGGGAGGCUUAAAAUCUCUCUAAGAAACCCUUAGCAAGCAAAAACUGAUCCUUAUUUCAGUGUUGCUUAACUCCUGUAUGUCACUAAACAGAUGUUCUUAAGCCGGUGCAGAUUCAAGCUUAAUUGACCCAAGUGAGGACAAACCUCCUUGCCAUGAAUGUGUUUGUCUUUCUGCACUGGUUGACUCACACAGGUCUGGAUUCUACAGCUAUUGUUGAAAAAUAAGGCUUGGAACCCCACUCACCCACCCUGCUGUAAUUUCUCAGGCUUUGCCAAGGAAGUGGAAAAUGCCACUGAACCAGAAGAGCAGCCCUCAUGCUCCUUGGGACUUGGGUUGUACCAGUGCAAGCGGCACAGGACUGAGCCCUACUGCCAAUUAUGAAUAUUAAAGCAAUGCCAACAGGACCAAAGAUCACAGAAAAUCAACAAUGUCCGUGAGGUGACCGCGAGCCGAGACUUUGAAACCACAGCUGGGAACGCUGAGGUAAAACUUAUCAAAUGAAAAGGACAGCAAAAAUAACCAUCAGCGGGGUUUGCUUCCUUCCCUCCUACAUCUCCUUGUGCAACCCUGCACACACAGCUUUGCCUGAAAGCUUCUGACCCUAAAAUCAGGCUUUAUAUCACAUGCUUUGAAUAAAACGAUCUGUGACAGGCAAAGGGAGCACCGGGCUAAUCCCGAAAGUAUCUAGUUCGUGUCAUGCUUUCCUGGAAUUGUGUAGCAACCCAAUGUUGCAGGCUGGGGCUCCCUGAGCUGCAU